GAUGAACGCUGGCGGCGUGCUUAACACAUGCAAGUCGAACGGUGAACGAGGGAGCUUGCUCCCUCCGGAUCAGUGGCGAACGGGUGAGUAACACGUGAGCAAUCUGCCCCGAACUCUGGGAUAAGCGCUGGAAACGGCGUCUAAUACCGGAUACGACGCGCGAAGGCAUCUUCUGCGCGUGGAAAGAAUUUCGGUUCGGGGUGAGCUCGCGGCCUAUCAGCUAGUUGGGGAGGUCACGGCUCACAAAGGGGACGACGGGUAGACGGCCUGAGAGGGUGACCGGCCACACUGGGACUGAGACACGGCACAGACUCCUACGGGAGGCAGCAGUGGGGAAUAUUGCACAAUGGGCGCAAGACUGAUGCAGCAACGCCGCGUGAGGGACGACGGCCUUCGGGUUGUAAACCUCUUUUAGUAGGGAAGAAGCGAAAGUGACGGUACCUGCAGAAAAAGCACCGGCUAACUACGUGCCAGCAGCCGCAGUAAGAC
rnacentral:rRNA from 1 species